AUGCCAUGUUGAGGACAUUUUCUGAGCAUCUCCUUAAAUCUAUCCCAUGCCUCGUAUAAUUGAUCAGACUCCAUCUGCCUAAAUUGAGUGAUCUUAGUUCUUAAUUGU